rnacentral:rRNA from 1 species
AACGAACGCUGGCGGCAUGCCUAACACAUGCAAGUCGAACGAGACCUUCGGGUCUAGUGGCGCACGGGUGCGUAACGCGUGGGAACCUGCCCUUAGGUUCGGAAUAACUCCCCGAAAGGGGUGCUAAUACCGGAUAAUGUCUUCGGACCAAAGAUUUAUCGCCUUUGGAUGGGCCCGCGUUGGAUUAGCUAGUUGGUAGGGUAAAAGCCUACCAAGGCGACGAUCCAUAGCUGGUCUGAGAGGAUGAUCAGCCACACUGGGACUGAGACACGGCCCAGACUCCUACGGGAGGAAGCAGUGGGGAAUAAUGGACAAUGGGCGAAAGCCUGAUCCAGCAAUGCCGCGUGAGUGAUGAAGGCCUUAGGGUUGUAAAGCUCUUUUAACCGGGAUGAUAAUGACAGUACCGGGAGAAUAAGCUCCGGCUAACUCCGUG